rnacentral:tRNA from 1 species
CAGGGAGACAACAAAAUGUUUAAUAUUAUUUUGUCACCUUAGGUCGAUCGGUAUCUCACUUUCUUAAUUUAUUAAGAUUUUCAUUUCCUAAGUUUUUCUAGGUCACACCCAUUAUUUUCCUGGGCCAUUAGCUCAGGUGGUUAGAGCGCACCCCUGAUAAGGGUGAGGUCCCUGGUUCAAGUCCAGGAUGGCCCAUAUCUCUAUGUUGGGGGUAUAGCUCAGUUGGUAGAGCGCCUGCUUUGCAAGCAGGAUGUCAGCGGUUCGAGUCCGCUUACCUCCACUGAUUACCACCUCUUUCAUAAUCUGUAGAAAGGGAAAUUUUUUGAGUUGUGAUCAUAUUCUGAACGAAUCUAGCUUCCUAAUGAAAUCAUUAAGAUGCUGGACUCAUUGAAUUAAUUUCAUUGUUUUCAGAGAACCUUGACAACUGCAUAGAUUAUUUUUAAAGACAAUAAGCAUCUUUUAAUGAUGCAGAUUUAUUAUUUGUGCGAAUGCAUUAAUAACAAUUCUAUUAAGCUGAUGCUUCAAUUAUGAAGUUAUU